rnacentral:tRNA from 1 species
AUUAGGGUAGCAAAGCACGGCCAUGCAGGAGGCUUAAAACCUCGAUACAGGUGUUCAAAUCACCUCCUUAAUA